GCCGAACAGGAAGCCAAGUACCGUUUAGGGAUAUGAAGAAUGAUGAGAGCGAAUCGGUCGGUAA
rnacentral:tRNA from 1 species